rnacentral:rRNA from 1 species
GAUGAACGCUGGCGGCGUGCCUAAUACAUGCAAGUCGAGCGAACAGACGAGGAGCUUGCUCCUCUGACGUUAGCGGCGGACGGGUGAGUAACACGUGGAUAACCUACCUAUAAGACUGGGAUAACUUCGGGAAACCGGAGCUAAUACCGGAUAAUAUAUUGAACCGCAUGGUUCAAUAGUGAAAGACGGUUUUGCUGUCACUUAUAGAUGGAUCCGCGCCGCAUUAGCUAGUUGGUAAGGUAACGGCUUACCAAGGCGACGAUGCGUAGCCGACCUGGGAGGGUGAUCGGCCACACUGGAACUGAGACACGGUCCAGGCUCCUACGGGAGGCAGCAGUAGGGAAUCUUCCGCAAUGGGCGAAAGCCUGACGGAGCAACGCCGCGUGAGUGAUGAAGGUCUUCGGAUCGUAAAACUCUGUUAUUAGGGAAGAACAAAUGUGUAAGUAACUAUGCACGUCUUGACGGUACCUAAUCAGAAAGCCACGGCUAACUACGUG